rnacentral:rRNA from 1 species
UGGGGAAUUUUGGACAAUGGGCGAAAGCCUGAUCCAGCCAUGCCGCGUGCAGGAUGAAGGCCUUCGGGUUGUAAACUGCUUUUGUACGGAACGAAAAGACUCUGGUUAAUACCUGGGGUCCAUGACGGUACCGUAAGAAUAAGCACCGGCUAACUACGUGCCAGCAGCCGCGGUAAUACGUAGGGUGCAAGCGUUAAUCGGAAUUACUGGGCGUAAAGCGUGCGCAGGCGGUUAUAUAAGACAGAUGUGAAAUCCCCGGGCUCAACCUGGGAACUGCAUUUGUGACUGUAUAGCUAGAGUACAGCAGAGGGGGGAUGGAAUUCCGCGUGUAGCAGUGAAAUGCGUAGAUAUGCGGAGGAACACCGAUGGCGAAGGCAAUCCCUGGGCCUGUACUGACGCUCAUGCACGAAAAGCAUGGGGGAGCAAACAGGAUUAGAUACCCUGGUAGUCCACGCCCUAAACGAUGUCAACUGGGUUGUUGGGUCUUUCACUGACUCAGUAACGAAGCUAACGCGUGAAGUUG